CCUCCGGUUCUUGGCAGGCCCGGCUCGCCGUGCCCGGCUCUGUAUGGGCGGAGGUAGAGCAGACACCGGAGCGGCGUCUUCGGUACCCGCGGCCAUCCGCGGGGUUCUGCCCUCCCGCGCCGGGACACGC
rnacentral:snoRNA from 1 species